rnacentral:rRNA from 1 species
GACGAACCGUCCAAACGUUAUUCGGAAUCACUGGGCUUACAGAGUUCGUAGGCGGUCCAGAAAGUUGGGUGUGAAAUCCCUCGGCUCAACCGAGGAACUGCGCUUGAAACUACUGGACUCGAGGGAGAUAGAGGAAAGCGGAACUGAUGGUGGAGCGGUGAAAUGCGUUGAUAUCAUCAGGAACACCGGUGGCGAAGGCGGC